rnacentral:ncRNA from 1 species
CAUCGCGAUGCUCUCUUCAUGGGAACAUCGUGAUGAGGAUACUAUCGAAGCGUCAGCUCAAGGAGCUUGUUCUGUACUCCCCGCAGCACAUCGCACGACUGGAAAAGGCCGGGCAAUUCCCCAAGCGGGUAAACCUAGGUCCUUGCAGAGUGGGGUGGGUUGAGGAGGAAGUGCUCGACUGGCUCCAGCAACGACUGGACCGCCGAGAUGCGCCUAGCCGACACUCCUCUUGAAGGAGCGGGUGAUCGGGCUUGCAAGCCC